GCCAGGUGUGGUGGCUCACGCCUGUAAUCCCAGCACUUUGGGAGGCCGAGGCGGGUGGAUCUCUUGAGCCCAGGAGUUUCAGGCCAGCCUGGGCAACAUAGGGAGACCCCGUCUCCA
rnacentral:SRP_RNA from 1 species